rnacentral:rRNA from 1 species
AUUGAACGCUGGCGGCAGGCCUAACACAUGCAAGUCGAGCGGAUGAAGGGAGCUUGCUCCUGGAUUCAGCGGCGGACGGGUGAGUAAUGCCUAGGAAUCUGCCUGGUAGUGGGGGAUAACGUCCGGAAACGGGCGCUAAUACCGCAUACGUCCUGAGGGAGAAAGUGGGGGAUCUUCGGACCUCACGCUAUCAGAUGAGCCUAGGUCGGAUUAGCUAGUUGGUGGGGUAAAGGCCUGCCAAGGCGACGAUCCGUAACUGGUCUGAGAGGAUGAUCAGUCACACUGGAACUGAGACACGGUCCAGACUCCUACGGGAGGCAGCAGUGGGGAAUAUUGGACAAAGGGCGAAAGCCUGAUCCAGCCAUGCCGCGUGUGUGAAGAAGGUCUUCGGAUUGUAAAGCACUUUAAGUUGGGAGGAAGGGCAGUAAGUUAACACCUUGCUGUUUUGACGUUACCAACAGAAUAAGCACCGGCUAACUUCGUG